rnacentral:lncRNA from 1 species
AGAGAGUAUGUCUUUAGACAGACAAAAAACAACACUCUAGUAAAAAAAGAAACUAAAAAAGACAAAGACACUAAGAAGAAUGACUCAAAUACAUACAAAUAUCAGAAGUUUCCUAGUAAAAAAAGAAACUAAAAAAGACAAAGACACUAAGAACCAUGGACGCAUGAGCUUUUAUAUAUAUAAUCUUGUCUCUUGUUGCAAACGUCAAAAAGAAUAGCCGGUGAGCUUUGUGGUGGUUCAGUCAUAUUUGAGCUGCUAAACCGAGCCAAGAGAUAGCCUCUAGAUACAAUCAUACAAUGCAAUUUAAAUAUAUAGAAAAAACUCAAAUAAUUUAUGCCAUUAGCACUGCAAU